rnacentral:rRNA from 1 species
UACGUAGGGACCGAGCGUUGUCCGGAAUCAUUGGGCGUAAAGAGCGUGUAGGCGGCCUUUUAAGUCCUGCGUGAAAUCCUGCGGCUCAACCGCAGACGGUCGUGGGAAACUGGAAGGCUAGAGUGCGGGAGAGGAGAGUGGAAUUCCCGGUGUAGCGGUGAAAUGCGCAGAUAUCGGGAAGAACACCCGUGGCGAAGGCGCUCUCUGGAACGCAACUGACGCUGAGACGCGAAAGCGUGGGAGCAACAGG